AAGUCGUAACAAGGUUUCCGUAGGUGAACCUGCGGAAGGAUCAUUAGUAGGGAGCGUGGGGCCAUGUGGCUCUGCCAACCUUGUGCUGCGUGUGAGUGUGUGUGAGUAUGUGCGGUGCAUGUCUCGGCAUGCGCGCACAUCCCGCCAUUACCGACCCAUAUAUACACUGUUGUCUAAUCACCUCGCAUCCACACUCGGGUGCACAACCAUCGAAAACUGCCAGCAAUGGAUCACUCGGUUCUC
rnacentral:misc_RNA from 1 species